rnacentral:rRNA from 1 species
GAUGAACGCUGGCGGCGUGCCUAAUACAUGCAAGUCGAGCGAACGGACGAGAAGCUUGCUUCUCUGAUGUUAGCGGCGGACGGGUGAGUAACACGUGGAUAACCUACCUAUAAGACUGGGAUAACUUCGGGAAACCGGAGCUAAUACCGGAUAAUAUUUUGAACCGCAUGGUUCAAAAGUGAAAGACGGUCUUGCUGUCACUUAUAGAUGGAUCCGCGCUGCAUUAGCUAGUUGGUAAGGUAACGGCUUACCAGGGCAACGAUGCAUAGCCGACCUGAGAGGGUGAUCGGCCACACUGGAACUGAGACACGGUCCAGACUCCUACGGGAGGCAGCAGUAGGGAAUCUUCCGCAAUGGGCGAAAGCCUGACGGAGCAACGCCGCGUGAGUGAUGAAGGUCUUCGGAUCGUAAAACUCUGUUAUUAGGGAAGAACAUAUGUGUAAGUAACUGUGCACAUCUUGACGGUACCUAAUCAGAAAGCCACGGCUAACUACGUG